GGUUAACGCUGGCGGCGUGCCUAACACAUGCAAGUCGAACGGUUCUAAGCGCGAGCUUAGGAUAGUGGCGAACGGGUGAGUAAAAGGUAGGAAUCUACCCCUUGGACGGAGAUAGCUACUGGAAACGGUAGGUAAACUUCGAUAAGCCCGAGAGGGGAAAGUGGUGAGACAGCCGAGGGAUGAGCCUACUCUCCAUCAGGUAGUUGGUGAGAUAAAAGCUUACCAAGCCGAUGACGGAUAACCGGUGUGAGAGCAUGAACGGUCACAAGGGCACUGAGAGACGGGCCCUACUCCUACGGGAGGCAGCAGUGGGGAAUCUUGGACAAUGGGCGAAAGCCUGAUCCAGCGACGCCGCGUGGAGGAAGAAGUCCUUCGGGAUGUAAACUUACUUGAACUAGCCGAAUAAAAGGACCUGUGGACACACAGGAGAAGAAAGUAAGGCUAGGAAAAGUACCCGGCUAACUAACGUGCCAGCAGCCGCGGUAAGAGUACUCUAU
rnacentral:rRNA from 1 species